AAGGAAGAGAAAAGUGAGAGAUUAAGAAAGUUCAGGUUCCCUUGGCAAAAGACAGACAUGCAAUCGAAUUCGAGAAGAUGCUGCUCACCUCUCUCUAAACUGACUAGACAGGUGAAGCAUACUCCCUAGCUGCUGUCAUAGGAGUUUAUCACACCGGGGCUGAUUUCAGCGUUAAAGAGAGAUAAAGUGCAUUUAAAGCAUCCCGCAAA